UACAGAGGGUGCGAGCGUUAAUCGGAAUUACUGGGCGUAAAGCGUGCGCAGGCGGUCUUUUAAGUCAGAUGUGAAAUCCCCGGGCUUAACCUGGGAACUGCGUUUGAAACUGGAAGGCUAGAGUGUGGCAGAGGGGGGUGGAAUUCCACGUGUAGCAGUGAAAUGCGUAGAUAUGUGGAGGAACACCGAUGGCGAAGGCAGCCCCCUGGGCUAACACUGACGCUCAUGCACGAAAGCGUGGGGAGCAAACAGG
rnacentral:rRNA from 1 species